UUCGGACACUCUUCAAGGUGCUGCAUGGUUGUCGUCAGCUCGUGCCGUGAGGUGUCGGGUUAAGUCCCAUAACGAGCGCAACCCUUACCGUUAGUUACCAUCAGGUUAAGCUGGGGACUCUAGCGGGACUGCCACCGUAAGGUGAGAGGAAGGUGGGGAUGACGUCAAAUCAGCACGGCCCUUAUGUCCAGGGCUACACACGUGUUACAAUGGCCGGUACAAAGGGCAGCUACUUCGCGAGAAGAUGCUAAUCUCGAAAGCCGGUCUCAGUUCGGAUCGAAGUCUGCAACCCGACUUCGUGAAGCUGGAUUCGCUAGUAAUCGCGCAUCAGCCAUGGCGCGGUGAAUACGUUCCCGGGCCUU
rnacentral:rRNA from 1 species